rnacentral:rRNA from 1 species
UUCUGGCUCAGAACGAACGCUGGUGGCGUGUCUAUACAUGCAAGUCGAGCGAGGCAGCAAUGCCGAGCGGCGAACGGGUGAGUAACGCGUAAGCAAUCUGCCCCAUAUCAGGAAAUACCCGUGCCAACGCGCGGUUAAUGUCCAGGAGAGUGGCUCCUUGCAUGAGGAGUUGACUAGAGAUUUAUCGGUAUGGGAUGAGCUUGCGUCCGAUUAGCUAGUUGGCGGGGCAACGGCCCACCAAGGCGACGAUCGGUAGCCGGCCUGAGAGGGUGAUCGGCCACAUUGGGACUGAGAUACGGCCCAGACUCCUACGGGAGGCAGCAGUAGGGAAUAUUGCACAAUGGGGGAAACCCUGAUGCAGCAACGCCACGUGUGGGAAGAAGCAUUUCGGUGUGUAAACCACUGUCAUGAGGGAAUAAGGCCCGCCUUCGGACGGGAUUGAAUGUACCUUGAGAGGAAGCACCGGCAAACUUCGUGCCAGCCGCCGC